rnacentral:rRNA from 1 species
AGUGAACGCUGGCGGUAGGCCUAACACAUGCAAGUCGAACGGCAGCACAGUAAGCGCUUGCUCUUACGGGUGGCGAGUGGCGGACGGGUGAGGAAUACAUCGGAAUCUACUUUUUCGUGGGGGAUAACGUAGGGAAACUUACGCUAAUACCGCAUACGACCUACGGGUGAAAGCAGGGGAUCUUCAGACCUUGCGUGAUUGAAUGAGCCGAUGUCGGAUUAGCUAGUUGGCGGGGUAAAGGCCCACCAAGGCGACGAUCCGUAGCUGGUCUGAGAGGAUGAUCAGCCACACUGGAACUGAGACACGGUCCAGACUCCUACGGGAGGCAGCAGUGGGGAAUAUUGGGCAAUGGGCGCAAGCCUGAUCCAGCCAUACCGCGUGGGUGAAGAAGGCCUUCGGGUUGUAAAGCCCUUUUGUUGGGAAAGAAAAGCAGCAGGUUAAUACCCCGCUGUUCUGACGGUACCCAAAGAAUAAGCACCGGCUAACUUCGUG